UUAAGUAUAUGUACCUUUACCUGUUCUGUCUUUAGUCAGUUCAACCAUACUUAUCAUCAAUGUUAGUUGAUUGUUUGAUCUGAAUUAAGACACACCCUCCUACUCCUACUUAACAAAUGAAAAUGGAGUCUCCAGCUGCUAGACGACUGAACAGAGUAGAACCAAGGAUGGGGUUCGAAAUUAAGGCAGUGGUUCUGACGUUAGCAUGCUUCGUGUAUGCCAUCACCCUGUUUCUGAUGGCGGCGUUCAUCAGCAAGGCAUCAACAGUGAUAAUAUCAUCAGUUUCAUCGUCACUGAAGCGUUACCAGUUCUGGAACAUUGAACACCAGACCAAAGUAAAUGUGAAACCAUCUUCAGUUCGCUCGGCGAAAUACAUAUCCCAGGGAUGAGAAAUCGCUGACACAACCAAACGUGAAUCUCAAAAACACUUAUAUCAUCAAACCGAUGUCAGAUUCGAUGAUUUGUGCGAUGAUGCGUGUAUAUUGUACUCCAAUGUGCUUAAUGAUAGCCAGUUUGUGCCUGUGAUUACAGGUGAUUCAGACUAGGAACUUGUACACGAACAUACUGUGAUACCAAUCAAGUAUGGCACACACUUUUGCAACGAGAGAGUAAAGCACGUCGUUGCAGGUUUACAUGUAUGCUUGGAACUACGACGAGUAUCCAAUGGAAGAACUUAUAUGAUGGCAAAGUGUCGAAAUAAACUGUCUAUUCCAUUAUCAGGUGUAUGUAAGUUGGAUGUGCAAUAUUUAAGUAUAGAACAUUCGAAAAAAAUGUUUUAAGAGUUUUAACAAUUUAACAAGAAAAAAAAGUUCUGAAGAGAUUACAUAGAUUUUUUUAAAAAUAUCUCUUGAUUAAUUUAUUACGUAAAGAAUAUUCAAUAAAUCAAAGUCUGGACAUGUUGAUCUAAGUGAAUAACAGAAAUAUAAUUCCUGUUAUUUUUAUUCAGUUAUGAUAAAAAAGAAUACAAUUCAAAAUUAACUAAUUAUUAAUAGCUUUAAGAAUGACACUUAGAAUAUUAAACAUCCCUAACAUAAGAUCAUUGACCGUUCGACAAUUACGUCAGUGAAUGAUGAACGAAAGGACUUCAUCAUACAUAUGUUUUAUCCAUCAGCAAGGUUCAUUUAUGUGUCGUAAGCGUUUGCAAGACGCUGAAGUUUGUACUUUGUUAUAUUCUGUUGCUUUUCACAGAUAAUAGUUGUUAAUAAAUCAAAUAAUACUUACA